ensembl:ncRNA F25H8.19 ncRNA
UGAUUUUUCAAAACUUUUAGGCAUAAAACGGUCGAGACGAGCUUCCGGAGAAGAGGAUUUAAUACGAUUAUGAAGAGAUAGACUAGGUUGUUGAUGACCAUAGGACUGGUCAG